rnacentral:rRNA from 1 species
AGCGUACAAGGUGGAUGCCUUGGCAAUCAGAGGCGAUGAAGGACGUGCUAAUCUGCGAAAAGCUUGGAUGAGUCGAUAAGAGGCGUUUAAUCCAAGAUGUCCGAAUGGGGAAACCCAGUAGAUGAAGAAUCUACUAUCACUUACUGAAUACAUAGGUAAGUGAGGCAAACCGGGAGAACUGAAACAUCUAAGUACCCCGAGGAAAAGAAAUCAACCGAGAUUUCGUUAGUAGCGGCGAGCGAACGCGAAGGAGCCUGUUAGUGAUAAUGACAGAGACAGAGGAACAAGCUGGGAAGCUUGGCGAUACAGGGUGAUAGCCCCGUACUCGAAGUCCAGGUCAUGGUACUAAGCUAACGACAAGUAGGGCGGGACACGUGAUAUCCUGUUUGAAGAUGGGGGGACCAUCCUCCAAGGCUAAAUACUCCUGAUUGACCGAUAGUGAACCAGUACUGUGAAGGAAAGGCGAAAAGAACCCCGGUGAGGGGAGUGAAAUAGAACCUGAAACCUUGUACGUACAAGCAGUGGGAGCCCUUUAAGGGUGACUGCGUACCUUUUGUAUAAUGGGUCAGCGACUUAUAUUUUGUAGCGAGGUUAACCGAAUAGGGGAGCCGAAGGGAAACCGAGUCUUAACUGGGCGUCUAGUUGCAAGGUAUAGACCCGAAACCCGGUGAUCUAGCCAUGGGCAGGUUGAAGGUUGGGUAACACUAACUGGAGGACCGAACCGACUAAUGUUGAAAAAUUAGCGGAUGACUUGUGGCUGGGGGUGAAAGGCCAAUCAAACCGGGAGAUAGCUGGUUCUCCCCGAAAUCUAUUUAGGUAGAGCCUUGAGCGGACACCUUCGGGGGUAGAGCACUGUUUCGGCUAGGGGUCCAUCCCGGAUUACCAACCCGAUGCAAACUACGAAUACCGAAGAGUGAUACUCAGGAGACACACGGCGGGUGCUAACGUCCGUCGUGGAGAGGGAAACAACCCAGACCGCCAGCUAAGGUCCCAAAGUCUAUAUUAAGUGGGAAACGAAGUGGGAAGGCUUAGACAGCUAGGAUGUUGGCUUAGAAGCAGCCAUCAUUUAAAGAAAGCGUAAUAGCUCACUAGUCGAGUCGGCCUGCGCGGAAGAUGUAACGGGGCUCAAAUAUAGCACCGAAGCUGCGGCAUCAGUAGCAAUACUGUUGGGUAGGGGAGCGUUCUGUAAGCGGAUGAAGGUGAAUCGAGAGGUUUGCUGGACGUAUCAGAAGUGCGAAUGCUGACAUAAGUAACGAUAAAACGGGUGAAAAACCCGUUCGCCGGAAGACCAAGGGUUCCUGUCCAACGUUAAUCGGGGCAGGGUGAGUCGGCCCCUAAGGCGAGGCUGAAAAGCGUAGUCGAUGGGAAACGGGUUAAUAUUCCCGUACUUGGAUAAACUGCGAUGUGGGGACGGAGCAGGUUAGGUUAUCGCACUGUUGGAUAUGUGCGUUUAAGUUGGUAGGUGUGAAGUUUAGGCAAAUCCGGACUUCUUUAACACUGAGAGAUGAUGACGAGGCUCUACGGAGCUGAAGUAACCGAUACCACACUUCCAGGAAAAGCCACUAAGCUUCAGGUUUAUCUAAACCGUACUGAAAACCGACACAGGUGGUCAGGUAGAGAAUACUCAGGCGCUUGAGAGAACUCGGGUGAAGGAACUAGGCAAAAUAGCACCGUAACUUCGGGAGAAGGUGCGCCGGCGUAGAUUGUAGUCCCUUGCGGGUGAAGGUUGAACCGGUCGAAGAUACCAGCUGGCUGCAACUGUUUAUUAAAAACACAGCACUCUGCAAACACGAAAGUGGACGUAUAGGGUGUGAUGCCUGCCCGGUGCUGGAAGGUUAAUUGAUGGUGUAAUCGAAAGAGAAGCUCCUGAUCGAAGCCCCAGUAAACGGCGGCCGUAACUAUAACGGUCCUAAGGUAGCGAAAUUCCUUGUCGGGUAAGUUCCGACCUGCACGAAUGGCAUAAUGAUGGCCAGGCUGUCUCCACCCGAGACUCAGUGAAAUUGAAAUCGCCGUGAAGAUGCGGUGUACCCGCGGCUAGACGGAAAGACCCCGUGAACCUUUACUAUAGCUUGACACUGAACAUUGAAUUUUGAUGUGUAGGAUAGGUGGGAGACUUAGAAGUAGUCACGCCAGUGAUUAUGGAGUCGUCCUUGAAAUACCACCCUUUAACGUUUGAUGUUCUAACGAAGAUUACGAAACGUGGUCUCGGACAGACUCGGGCGGUUAACAGGUCCCAUGAUCUUAUGUUUGGAAUGCUCUGCUUUCCGAAGAAUGGAGAUCCAUCGGUCUAAGGACAUCUCAGAGUAAUCAUAUCCUUCCAUCUCAGAACGGUCAUACAUUAAACUGAUCUUAGGAAUAUGUUCAAUAGAGAUUGUAAGGUCUUCGGAAGGAAGAGAAGAAGAUGCUUCUAGAAUAUCAAUUCCAUUUUGAAUCUUUUGGAGCAGAUAGCUGCAUUCGGUGUACUGAUCGAUCCGCUUCAUGAUAUCAUCUCGCAUCGUCUCAAGAUGUGAAUUGAUAUUCGCCUCAAGGGACUGAGCAUCGUUUUCAGAUAUGAUCUGCCGGAUAUCUUUUAAUGGAAAGCCCAUUUGUUUUAAAGUUUUAAUGAUCAUCAGAUUGACGAUCUGUGAUUUUGAAUAAUAACGGUAGUGCGUACUGUCGUCUCGAUAGUCUGGUGUGA